UGGGGAAUUUUCCGCAAUGGGCGCAAGCCUGACGGAGCAAUACCGCGUGAGGGAGGAAGGCUUUUGGGUUGUAAACCUCUUUUGUUAAGGAAGAAGAAGUGACGGUACUUAACGAAUCAGCAUCGGCUAACUCCGUGCCAGCAGCCGCGGUAAUACGGAGGAUGCAAGCGUUAAUCGGAAUUACUGGGCGUAAAGCGCACGCAGGCGGUUUGUUAAGCUAGAUGUGAAAGCCCCGGGCUCAACCUGGGAUGGUCAUUUAGAACUGGCAGACUAGAGUCUUGGAGAGGGGAGUGGAAUUCCAGGUGUAGCGGUGAAAUGCGUAGAUAUCUGGAGGAACAUCAGUGGCGAAGGCGACUCCCUGGCCAAAGACUGACGCUCAUGUGCGAAAGUGUGGGUAGCGAACAGGAUUAGAUACCCGCGUAGUCC
rnacentral:rRNA from 1 species